CAAAAAAUAAAAAACAGGUAUUUGCCGAAAAUAUCUCCUUCAAAAUACAUAAAUACAGGCAAAAAUACAAAAAAAAAUAAAAAAAACAAUAUUGUAUAUACAUUAAAUAAUGCAGAAUACACUCCAAAACAAUCAAUUCCGGCCUCAAAAUCGUCGGAAAAAUUGGAUACAAUACAACAACCACGUCGGUGAUCUGAGAAAUACAAAUACAUACCUGUUCCAGAUCAGAUCAACCUUGCACUAGAGGGGAGUUCUGUGGAGGAACUUUGGCGGUAGAUUAACCCAUAUCAGCCCAUAUCAGAUUUUCAGAUCAGAUCCAACUCCGGCGACUGGAUUCUGGCAUUGUCAACUGCUGCAUUGUUCGAAGUUUAGAGCCUCGAACUCAAAAAUCUGAAAGCCGACUGGAGCCUGGAGCCUCGACCUCAACUUGCCGGAAACCUCGUGCUAACUGGAAUGACAACCUCCUUUUUGACUUCGAACUCACAUCUGAAGAUCUGGCUUACGAGGAGGUGCAUAAAGUGGCAGUGAUGAUGUUUCUAUAUUUGGGCCAGCCAAUCCGGGCAUGGAGAUGACCCGACCCGUAUCUUGGCGAGGCAACCCGGACAGCAGGUGAUCUGCAAUCGGUGUUUGCAGCCAUGGCGGUGUCUUCAAUCUCUUGCUGUAUGCUGGGAAAUUCGCAGGUGGAAUAAUACACUAAAUUCCGUCCCCCCCCCCCCCCCCCCCCCCCAGAACAAAAACCCAAAACAGGGAAAAGUUUAGCCCCGAAAAGAAAGAAAUGAGGCAAAACAGAGAGUAUUGGGAUUUUCUUUGAAGGGUGGUUGCCCCUCUCUGUUGUGCCAUUGAUUGUCCAUUUUCAAACAACCAACAGCCCUUGAAAAUAGCAGAAGCAAACAGGAUUUAUGUCAUAUAUAUAUAUAUGCCGUCGUUUGCAUUUGUUUGUGUAUGUGUGUGUGUUGUUUCUUCAGUGCAGUAAUGAUGAUGUUUCUAUAUCUGGGCUAACCAAUUUGGGCAUGGAGAUGACCUGACCCGUAUCUUGGCAUGGCAACCCGGUAUGGCCUGCGACUGAGACUUCUGUUUCUCACAUGCAGCUGGCGUUUGCAGCCAUGGCGUGGUUGGCUUCUUGUUUGCCUUAUCAUAAUACACAUCUGAGCCCCAUUUUCUUGAAAUAAAUAAAAAUUCACUUAAUAUCCUCAAAAACGUUUUCCAUUAACAAUAUUUUCCUUCAUACUGAACACAUCCUGAGUUUAAAAAUGAUUCUCUUCCCAUUCUCUUGUACACACAGCAGAAAAACUAAAAGCUCAGAUAAAAGAAAUGAGGGUUGCAGAGAGUAGAGUGGAAAGUCCAAAGCGCUGUUGCUCCUCUAUGCAAUACCUGUGAUUUCAUUUUUUGCUGUGAAAAAAAAAAAAAAAGAACUGCGCUUUUGCAAUUAUAAAGUACCAAACGACCCCUUAAGUCUUUGCUUAUUCUCACUCCCAAAGUGAGAAUCAAUGUUUGAUUUUUCUUAAAUGCAGCUGGGAAAUUCCCAGGUGAAAAACACAUGAGAAUCCGGGCAUGGAGGUGCCCUGACCCAUAUCUUGGCAGGGCAACCCGGAUGCAGCCAUGACGCUGGGAAAUGUAGGUGGAAAAAUACGAGAAUAUCCCCUCAAAAGGGGAAAAGGUUAGCCCAGAAAAGAAAGAAAUGAGCCAGAACAAAGAGUAUUGGGAUUUUUUCUGAAAGGGGGGUUGCCCCUCUCGGCUGCGCCAUUUAUUUUCCUCCAUUUUGAAACAAUUAACAGCCCUUGAUAAAACCAGAAGCAAACAGGAUUUCAGUCAUAUAUACCGUCAUUCGCCUAUGUUUUUGUGUGUGUGUGUGUUGUUUUUCCGGUGUGAUUGAAGGUAUGUAAAGAGACAGUGAUGAUGUUUCUAUAUCCGGGCUAACCAAUUCGGGCAUGGAGAUGACCUGACCCCGUAUCUUGGCAUGGCAACCCGUUAUGUCCUGUGAUUGAGACUUCUGUCUCUCGCAUGCAACUGGUAGUUGCAUCCA